UGGGGAAUAUUGCACAAUGGGCGCAAGCCUGAUGCAGCAACGCCGCGUGAGGGACGACGGCCUUCGGGUUGUAAACCUCUUUUGGCAGGGAAGAAGCGAAAGUGACGGUACCUGCAGAAAAAGCACCGGCUAACUACGUGCCAGCAGCCGCGGUGAUACGUAGGGUGCAAGCGUUGUCCGGAAUUAUUGGGCGUAAAGAGCUCGUAGGCGGUUUGUCGCGUCUGCUGUGAAAACCCGAGGCUCAACCUCGGGCCUGCAGUGGGUACGGGCAAACUAGAGGGCGGUAGGGGAGAUUGGAAUUCCUGGUGUAGCGGUGGAAUGCGCAGAUAUCAGGAGGAACACCGAUGGCGAAGGCAGAUCUCUGGGCCGUAACUGACGCUGAGGAGCGAAAGCAUGGGGAGCGAACA
rnacentral:rRNA from 1 species